UAAUAGCGUAUAUUAAAGUUGUUGCAGUUAAAAGCUCGUAGUUGGAUUUCUGGGAGGGUGCCAAUGUCCGUCAACGUGCGUGUGCAGCGGCGCCCUUCCAUCCUUCUGUUAACGCCUCUGGGCAUUUAUUUGCUGGUGGCGGGCUCAGAUAUUUUACCUUGAGAAAAUUAGAGUGUUUCAGGCAGGCUAGGCCAGGAAUACAUUAGCAUGGAAUAAUAGAAUAGGACUAUGGUCUCUUUGUUGGUUUGAGGGACUGCAGUAAUGAUUAAUAGGGAUAGUUGGGGGCGAUUAGUAUUUAAUUGUUCAGAGGUGAAUUCUCGGAUUUGUUAAAGACUAACUUAUGCGAAAGCAUUUGCCAAGGAUGUUUUCAUUAAUCAAGAACGAAAGUUAGGGGAUCAAAGACGAUCAGA
rnacentral:rRNA from 1 species